rnacentral:rRNA from 1 species
UACGUAGGGGGCAAGCGUUGUCCGGAUUUAUUGGGCGUAAAGAGCGUGUAGGCGGCCUUACAGGUCAGCUGUGAAAACUCGAGGCUCAACCUCGAGACGUCGGUUGAAACCGUAAGGCUAGAGUCCGGAAGAGGAGAGUGGAAUUCCCGGUGUAGCGGUGAAAUGCGCAGAUAUCGGGAAGAACACCCGUGGCGAAGGCGGCUCUCUGGGACGGUACGUGACGCUGAGACGCGGAAAGCGUGGGGAGCGAACAGG